GAGGACACUUAAACUCAUGUGCCAAGAUAGCAAUUAUUGGGGAAAUUUUUAAAUAAUAGAAAACAAACAAGAAUGUUAAAACCAAAAAAAGCAUGUUUGGACAGAUUAUAUUUUCUUUUAAAAUACAUUGCACUUCUUAUUUGAUAAAUUCUGAAGCACAUAUAUAUAGCCUAUGUUAAUCUGAAGAAUAAAAUUAUACAGAACAGUAUGUAUGGCACAUACUACUUAUGUAAAAUUAUGUAUCUGUGGUGCAUAUGUAAGUAGAGAGUUGUCUGAAAGAAUGAUCACUAAAAUGUUCAGGGCUUAUCUGAGUAUUGAACUUAGAGAUGGUUUUUUUCUUUUGUACCUUUUAAAUUUAUUGAUUUUUGUUUUUUACAAACUACAUGUAUAUCAUUUUAUAUUCAGGAAAAAGAAGACAAUUGUAAUCUUAGGCAAAAACUGAAAGUCAGUGUGUCCCAAAUAUAUGAGGAUUGUGAGGAUAUGAACUUAACAAGUUACUUGAACGCUUAGUCAGAAGGAGCUUUGGUGGUAGCCGUGGGGCAGCAGAGAGAUGGGAGACAGGCAGUAUUUGAGAAUCUGCAUGGUCUUUGUUUGAGGAGACUUGUCCGGUGCUGGUAGCCGUGCCUGUGACAUGGAGGUAGUGGGAGAUGCCAUGUGGCCCCUCUGCUGUUAGCCUUCUUCAGUUGGGCCUCUUCCCUGCAUUUAUCAUUUUCAGGUAGCAAAUUAGUAUUAAGUGCGUAGAGUAGCGGGAGAGAAUGGAGGAGGAGAAUACCAGGCCUGGGUUCUCCUAUUUACUAAGAUCAGAGAAACGUUUCACCACUCCUGCCCCAUUUUACUUCUUCUAGAUCCUCUUUUCUCAUCAACAAACAUAAAAGAUGACUUGCUGAAGUUUCCAGUUAGAGGGCAAUAAUUGAGCCAGUAGCUUUUCUUGCUCUCAUUCGGUCUCCCUAACCAACGCAGAAGGCCUUGACUCAUCCGGAGGGCUCUGAAGCAUCUCGCCUUGGCGGUCAGGCACUACUCCGUGUAUUAACAGUUGGAAGGUCUUUCUAACGCUGUGGGCAGAUGUAUGUCCAGAGGCAUCUGCCCAUUCAGUGCACAGUGGAGACAUUUAGACUCACAAAGCUGUGCUGCCUAAUUUAGAGCAUUUUAACUUUUCAUGCCUUCCUAGCUUUCUCAGCCCUAGGCAACCACUAAUCUACUUUUGUCUCUGUAGAUUUUUACAUCCCUAGCAUUUCAUAUGCAUGAAAUCAAAUAAUAUGUGACAUCUUUCCCAAAGCAUGAUGUUUUCAGUGUUUGUCUGUGUCAUAUAUCAGAUUUUAUUUCUUUUUAUUAAUGUAUAGUAUCAGAGAAAAUAUUCCAGUAUGUGAGAAAACUUGAUUUUGUUUAUUCAUUUACUAGUUAAAAGACAUUUAUGUUGUUCCCACUUUUUUUUGGCCUCUGUGAUUAAUGUUGCUAUAAAUAUAACAAUUAUGAAUAAUGUGUAUACAAUUUUUAUGAAGAAAUCUGGUUUUGUAUUGGAUAUAUUCUUAAAAUUUGGGAGUCUUGGGUAUAUGCUUCACUGAUAGCAUGUGUGCUCAGCAGACAGGAGACUCUAGUCAUUCCCUAGC
rnacentral:lncRNA from 1 species